GAUGAAGAACGUAGUGAAAUGCGAUAAGUAAUGUGAAUUGCAGAGUUCAGUGAAUCAUCGAAUCUUUGAACGCACAUUGCGCCCGUCAGUAUUCUGACGGGCAUGCCUGUCCGAGCGUCAUUUCAACCCUCAAGCACUGCUUGGCGUUGGCGGAUUGCGUGCCCUCGCGGCGCUGCAACCGCCCAAAUACAGUGGCGGUCCCGCUGCGGCUCCCUUUGCGUAGUAACUCACCUCGCACUGGACCGGGCGGCGGCCUGCCGUAAAACCCCAACUCACGAAAUGUUGACCUCGGAUCAGGUAGGAAUACCCGCUGAACUUAAGCAUAUCAAUAAGCGGAGGA
rnacentral:misc_RNA from 1 species